AUGACUCAACAAAACAGAAUCACGAAAUUAAUGAAAAGUCACAAGAGGAAAAGAAAUCUUCAAAGUAACAUCAGAAAAAAAGACAGAAGAUUAGACUGCUUAAGCAGAAACAUUCUACAAGUCAAAGGAAGUUAUUAUGCCACUCUGUUUGGCACCUGUGAAACUACAUCUGAAUUAUGGCACAUCCACUUUUGCCACCCCUUAUGCAACAGAGAUACUGAUGAACUGGAGACAGUCCACUGGAGGACCACCAAGAUGGUUAAGGAUGGAGAAUGUGGCAGAUGAGGUUAAACUAGUGAGCUGAAUUUGUGUAGCAACAGGAAUAGGCUGCAAAGUGAGAACUAAUUUCUGUCUUAAACGACCUAAUUGGCAUUUAUAGAGAAGACAAAAAGAGACUCUUUCCAGAGAUGCACAACAUACUGACAAGGAACAACAGAUACAGCUUGCUACAAUGGAAAUUCCAGAUAUAUGUAGAGAACAAUUCAUGCUCUAAGGGUGAUCAAACACUGAAACAGCUUAUCUGGAGAGGCUGUGGAACCUCCACCCUUUCAGACUUUCAGGCCUUACACUGAGGAACCCUGGAGUAACCUCAUCUGAAUUUGAAGCAACCCUCCUUUGAAGAUAUCAGAGUAGACGACCUUCAGAGGUCCCUUGCAACCUAAAUUAUUCCGCGAUUCUACGUUCUUCAGCCAGAGUCACUUUUGUGCUUUUUCCCAGGACCCUUCCUAAUUUUUUGACAUUGUUAAAAUCUAUGGACAAGACCAUAACCUGUAGUGAUACAGAUUUCAUAUCAUCAGUACGACAAGAGGAGUUUAAUGGAGUAAAGUAAGUGACUUCCUUAAUCUUGCUCUAUAUUCAACAGAAUUUCAGUCCCUUUACAUUAAUCCUACCCUUGGGGCUUUGGUACAACUUUUUGGUCUAUGAUCCCUACUUAAUCCCAGGGUCCAGAUUCUUCUUAAGCAUGUAUGUACAUUUAGAAACUAUCCAUUAAAGUACAAUUUCAGAUUUUGCUGUGCAACAGUAGACUGAACAGGUCCCACUGAACAAGCAAUCCAGGUGAUUCCAUUCUUUUUUACCAUAUACAAAUUAACAGAACUUCUUUACAGUACCCUUCAUAAAGAAGCUUGACUUGGAACAUGCUUCCUUCAGUAACACUGUUGUCAGUCCCCCACCCCUUCAAGCUUUUAAAAAGGUAUUCAAUUUACAUGGUACAGGUGCUUUUUUGUUCUCCCUAAGAAGGCUGUACCAAGGCAUAACUGCAUUACACAUAGCGAGUGUUUAUGCCAAACAACUGUGUUCUAAAACAAAUGUAGUAUUAUUCUAGAUAUAAUUUUACUUCCAUAUUUAGUAUUUUUCUAAAUAAAAAAAAUAUUUCCAUUAAACUUUUUUUGGCA
rnacentral:lncRNA from 1 species